rnacentral:rRNA from 1 species
UAGGAAUCUGCCUGAUAGUGGGGGAUAACGUUCGGAAACGGACGCUAAUACCGCAUACGUCCUACGGGAGAAAGCAGGGGACCUUCGGGCCUUGCGCUAUCAGAUGAGCCUAGGUCGGAUUAGCUAGUUGGUGAGGUAAUGGCUCACCAAGGCUACGAUCCGUAACUGGUCUGAGAGGAUGAUCAGUCACACUGGAACUGAGACACGGUCCAGACUCCUACGGGAGGCAGCAGUGGGGAAUAUUGGACAAUGGGCGAAAGCCUGAGUCCAGCCAUGCCGCGUGUGUGAAGAAGGUCUUCGGAUUUGUAAAGCACUUUAAGUUGGGAGGAAGGGCAUUAACCUAAUACGUUGGUGUCUUGACGUUACCGACAGAAUAAGCACCGGCUAACUCUGUG